rnacentral:lncRNA from 13 species
GGCUGCCAAUGAGGUGAGAGAAGACUGAAAGAAGCAUAUGAACAAAAGACCACAAGAAAAAUUGAAUAAAAAACUGUGGACCUUUCUCUGGGAAAACAUGUGCACAUGCACAUUAAAUGAUUCAUAUGAUGUGGAACUCAGACCUACUAAGGAGUAUCUGUGGCUCAGUAAGGAAAAGACACAAUUGUGGUUCACAUUUUGUAACUAUAUCUUGUGUAUCUUGCCUGGCUUAAAGGUACAUUAAAAUUUUAUUGAAUUAAUUGCCAAGAACUAAAAUGAGAAUAUUUCUACAUAAAAAUUCAGGUGUCUGGCUUCUCUUAAAAAAUUUAAAUGUCUGGGGUCCCUGAGCUUGCAUGGUUGCCAUCCACUG